AAUAUACUCCCUCCAUACAACAAAUGAUGUCUCAAUUUUGACUAAAUUUGAAUGCAUCUAUACACUAAAUCAUGUCUACAUACAUCCAAAAUUUAACAAAUUUGAGACAUUUUUUGUUGGACGGAGGGAGUACUGU
rfam:Brachypodium distachyon strain Bd21 chromosome 1, whole genome shotgun sequence.